UACGAAGGGGGCUAGCGUUGCUCGGAAUCACUGGGCGUAAAGCGCACGUAGGCGGAUUCUUAAGUCAGGGGUGAAAUCCUGGAGCUCAACUCCAGAACUGCCUUUGAUACUGAGGGUCUUGAGUUCGGGAGAGGUGAGUGGAACUGCGAGUGUAGAGGUGAAAUUCGUAGAUAUUCGCAAGAACACCAGUGGCGAAGGCGGACUCACUGGCCCGAUACUGACGCUGAGGUGCGAAAGCGUGGG
rnacentral:rRNA from 1 species